rnacentral:rRNA from 1 species
UAGGGAAUCUUCGGCAAUGGGGGGAACCCUGACCGAGCAACGCCGCGUGAGUGAAGAAGGUUUUCGGAUCGUAAAGCUCUGUUGUUAAGGAAGAACGAGUGUGAGAAUGGAAAGUUCAUGCUGUGACGGUACUUAACCAGAAAGGGACGGCUAACUACGUGCCAGCAGCCGCGGUAAUACGUAGGUCCCGAGCGUUGUCCGGAUUUAUUGGGCGUAAAGAGCUUGUAGGCGGUUCGUCGCGUCUGGUGUGAAAGCCCAUCGCUUAACGGUGGGUUUGCGCCGGGUACGGGCGGGCUAGAGUGCAGUAGGGGAGACUGGAAUUCUCGGUGUAACGGUGGAAUGUGUAGAUAUCGGGAAGAACACCAAUGGCGAAGGCAGGUCUCUGGGCUGUUACUGACGCUGAGAAGCGAAAGCGUGGGGAGCGAACAGG